rnacentral:pre_miRNA from 1 species
CCGAGGGAAAGGCUCGUCAUGAUCUUGUCAAACUGAUGAUCGGUGGGACUUUCGUUCGUUA